rnacentral:rRNA from 1 species
GAUGAACGCUGGCGGCGUGCUUAACACAUGCAAGUCGAACGAGAAGUGAAGACGGAAACCUUUGGGCGGAAGACUUUAUUUCGAGUGGCGGACGGGUGAGUAACGCGUGGGUAACCUGCCUCAUACAGGGGGAUAACAGUUGGAAACGACUGUUAAUACCGCAUAAGACCACAGCACCGCAUGGUGCGGGGGUAAAAACUCCGGUGGUAUGAGAUGGACCCGCGUUCGAUUAGCCAGUUGGCGGGGUAACGGCCCACCAAAGCGACGAUCGAUAGCCGAUCUGAGAGGAUGACCGGCCACAUUGGGACUGAGACACGGCCCAAACUCCUACGGGAGGCAGCAGUGGGGAAUAUUGCACAAUGGGGGAAACCCUGAUGCAGCGACGCCGCGUGAGUGAAGAAGUAUUUCGGUAUGUAAAGCUCCAUCAGCAGGGAAGAAAAUGACGGUACCUGAGUAAGAAGCCCCGGCUAACUACGUGCCAGCAGCCGCGGUAAUACGUAGGGGGCAGGCGUUAUCCGGAUUUACUGGGUGUAAAGGGAGCGCAGACGGCUCUGCAAGUCUGAAGUGAAAGCCCGCGGCUUAACCGCGGGACUGCUUUGGAAACUGCAAGGCUUGAGUAUCGGAGGGGCAGGCGGAAUUCCUAGUGUAGCGGUGAAAUGCGUAGAUAUUAGGAAGAACACCGGUGGCGAAGGCGGCCUGCUGGACGAAAACUGACGUUGAGGCUCGAAGGCGUGGGGAGCAAACAGG